rnacentral:misc_RNA from 1 species
GAUGAAGAACGUAGUGAAAUGCGAUAAGUAGUGUGAAUUGCAGAAUUCAGUGAAUCAUCGAAUCUUUGAACGCACAUUGCUCCCUGUGGUAUUCCGCAGGGCAUGCCUGUUCGAGCGUCAUUGACACCCUCAAGCUCUGCUUGGUCUUGGGCGUUUGUGCCUGCCGUUGCGCAGGGACUCGCCUCAAACUCAUUGGCAGCCUGCCUUUGCCGGUCUUUGCACAGCACAGUCGUGCCAAAGCCGCGGUGAGCAGGCGCUCCACAAGCCCUUUUCAGCUUGACCUCGGAUCAGGUAGGAAUACCCGCUGAACUUAAGCAUAUCAAUAAGCGGAGGA